rnacentral:rRNA from 1 species
UACGUAGGGGGCUAGCGUUGUCCGGAAUCAUUGGGCGUAAAGCGCGUGUAGGCGGUCCGGUAAGUCCGCUGUGAAAGUCGAGGGCUCAACCCUCGAAUGCCGGUGGAUACUGUCGGGCUAGAGUGCGGAAGAGGCGAGUGGAAUUCCUGGUGUAGCGGUGAAAUGCGCAGAUAUCAGGAAGAACACCCGUGGCUAAGGCGGCUCUCUAGUACGGUACUGACGCUGAGACGCGAAAGCGUGGGGAGCGAACAGG